rnacentral:rRNA from 1 species
CCUACGGGCGACAGCAGUCGAGAAUCAUUCACAAUGGGGGAAACCCUGAUGGUGCGACGCCGCGUGGGGGAAUGAAGGUCUUCGGAUUGUAAACCCCUGUCAUGUGGGAGCAAAUUAAAAAGAUAGUACCACAAGAGGAAGAGACGGCUAACUCUGUGCCAGCAGCCGCGGUAAUACAGAGGUCUCAAGCGUUGUUCGGAAUCACUGGGCGUAAGGCGUGCGUAGGCUGUUUCGUAAGUCGGUUGUGAAAGGCGCGGGCUCAACCCGCGGACGGCACAUGUUACUGCGAGACUAGAGUAAUGGAGGGGGAACCGGAAUGCUCGGUGUAGCAGUGAAAUGCGUAGAUAUCGAGAGGAACACUCGUGGCGAAGGCGGGUUCCUGGACAUUAACUGACGCUGAGGCACGAAGGCCAGGGGAGCGAAAGGGAUUAGAUACCCGGGUAGUC